rnacentral:tRNA from 1 species
GUCUCAGUAGUGUAGUGGUUAACACGCCAGCAUCAAGCAGAGAGGAAAGAGGGAAGCCUCUGGGGUCAAUAGACUCCGGCGACGAACUCUAUAGUCCUGGCUUCGGCUGCUGGAGAUCCUGGGUUCGAAUCCCAGCUGAGACG